rnacentral:rRNA from 1 species
AUUAGCUUGUUGGUGGGGUAACGGCCUACCAAGGCGACGAUGGUUAGCUGGUCUGAGAGGAUGAUCAGCCACACUGGGACUGGAACACGGCCCAGACUCCUACGGGAGGCAGCAGUGGGGAAUAUUGCGCAAUGGGCGAAAGCCUGACGCAGCAACGCCGCGUGGGUGAAGAAGGCCUGAGGGUUGUAAAGCACUUUCAAUUGUGAAGAAAAGUUAACGGUUAAUAACCGUUGACCUUGACGUUAACUUUAGAAGAAGCACCGGCUAACUCCGUGCCAGCAGCCGCGGUAAUACGGAGGGUGCAAGCGUUAAUCGGAAUUACUGGGCGUAAAGCGUGCGUAGGCGGUUUAUCAAGUCAGAUGUGAAAUCCCCGGGCUUAACCUGGGAACUGCAUUUGAAACUGGUCAACUAGAGUAUGGUAGAGGAAAGUGGAAUUUCUGGUGUAGCGGUGAAAUGCGUAGAUAUCAGAAGGAACAUCAAUGGCGAAGGCAGCUAACUGGCCCAAUACUGACGCUGAGGUACGAAAGCGUGGGUAGCAAACAGGAUUAGAUACCCUGGUAGUCCACGCCGUAAACGAUGAUAACUAGCCGUUGGGGGGAUUUACCCUUUAGUGGCGAAGCUAACGCGUUAAGUUAUCCGCCUGGGGAGUACGGCCGCAAGGCUAAAACUCAAAGGAAUUGACGGGGACCCGCACAAGCGGUGGAGCAUGUGGUUUAAUUCGAUGCAACGCGAAGAACCUUACCUGGUCUUGACAUCCUGCGAACUUUCUAGAAAUAGAUUGGUGCCUUCGGGAACGCAGUGACAGGUGCUGCAUGGCUGUCGUCAGCUCGUGUCGUGAGAUGUUGGGUUAAGUCCCGUAACGAGCGCAACCCCUAUCCUUAUUUGCCAGCACAUUAUGGUGGGAACUAUAAGGAGACUGCCGGUGAUAAACCGGAGGAAGGCGGGGAUGACGUCAAGUCAUCAUGGCCCUUACGACCAGGGCUACACACGUGCUACAAUGGGAAGGACAAAGAGCCGCGAAGCCGCGAGGUGUAGCUAAUCUCACAAAUCUUCUCGUAGUCCGGAUUGGAGUCUGCAACUCGACUCCAUGAAGUCGGAAUCGCUAGUAAUCGUAGAUCAGAAUGCUACGGUGAAUACGUUCCCGGGUCUUGUACACACCGCCCGUCAUACCAUGGGAGUGGGUUGCACCAGAAGUGGCUAGUCUAACUUAGCGAG